rnacentral:lncRNA from 12 species
GGGGUAUGUGCCACGUUUGGAGAUAAAGGCUAAAGGUAACAAGAAAUUUCAUCAAGAACUGAAGACUGGAGGAAAUGAUAGAGAUGGAAAAGGACCAGCUACAAAUACCAGAAGGUACCCCCCAAAACUGGCGAAAAGGCAGAUGUGGUUGUAGAGCUCAUCCAGCAAGUGUUGAACAUUAUGGAAGAACUUGGAAUGACUAGAAAAG